UACGGGGGGGGCAAGCGUUGUUUGGAAUUACUGGGCGUAAAGGGCUCGUAGGCGGCCAACUAAGUCAGACGUGAAAUCCCUCGGCUUAACCGGGGAACUGCGUCUGAUACUGGAUGGCUUGAGUUUGGGAGAGGGAUGCGGAAUUCCAGGUGUAGCGGUGAAAUGCGUAGAUAUCUGGAGGAACACCGGUGGCGAAGGCGGCAUCCUGGACCAACACUGACGCUGAGUGAGCGAAAGCCAGGGGAGCAAACGGG
rnacentral:rRNA from 1 species